rnacentral:rRNA from 1 species
UACGUAGGGGGCGAGCGUUGUCCGGAAUCACUGGGCGUAAAGGGUGCGUAGGCGGCAUAAUAAGUCAGAUGUGAAAUCCCAGGGCUUAACCCUGGAGUUGCAUUUGAAACUGUGAUGCUUGAGUGCAGGAGAGGGAAGCGGAAUUCCUAGUGUAGCGGUGAAAUGCGUAGAGAUUAGGAGGAACACCAGUGGCGAAGGCGGCUUUCUGGACUGUAACUGACGCUGAGGCACGAAAGCGUGGGGAGCGAACAGG